GCGGAGGUGGCGAAAUUGGCAGACGCACUAGCUUGAGGUGCUAGCGGGUAACACCAUACGGGUUCAAGUCCCGUCCUCCGCA
rnacentral:tRNA from 2 species